CCCUGUCUAAAAUCAGUUAGGAUACAGUGCAUAAAAUCCAAUUCAAAGUAUUCUAAAAUGUUAUAUUAAAAAAAGUUCAUAAUAUUAAAAUGUAUGGUUAAAAUAUGUGCUGGAUAAAAAACUAUAAUAUGUAUAGUGUAUUAAAAGACAAUUUACAAUUCAAAGAUAAAUAUUCUAAAAAAGGUCAAGUUCAUUAAGUUGAAGAGAUGUGUGAUUCAGAGAACGUGAGAGGAAUAAGCAGUGUAAAUGCAAGUGUAAUCUAACAUGUUAUCUGUUUUGUGUCAAUCAUUUCAUUCCUGUGUUCCUAUUGGUUGUUAUCUAACUCACGAGCCAAUCAAGCUAAAUUCAUGGGGUGAGAGGCGGGACUAGUGGCGCAGGUUAGUUUGGUGCGUACGUGAGCAUGCGAGAGACAGAGAGCCACGAUCGAUCAGCGAGCUAAGACGGAGGCAUCGUGUGGGGAGCAUUUAAGUUUUAUCGUGGAGGUCGACUACCCGUUGUCCUGAUAUAAACUUCUGUGUGACCUGCAAGAGGUGAAUAUAAUGUGUAUGCCUGUAUUUUGUGCUAUAUCUAACUGUUAUAGUCUAAUGACACUGUAUUGGGUAAAUGUGGUUAGUGACAUGCUAGCUAGCGAUAGCCGACAGUGCUAAUGUGUUUUUAUAUCAACGUUCUGUCCUAAGAUGUUAAUGAAAGUUAAAGCGAGCUAAUGCUAAUUCAAAAAGAGAUAGUGUUUUGUAUUGUGGCUCAGUGUAUGAUAAUAUGCUUAAAGGAGACGGACGUUGGAGAAGGAGAGAGAUUGAGACUGUCCAGACAGACGGCCCUGCUGUUUUUUAUUCUUCCUCGUGACUCUGCUGCUGAGCGCCAUCGCCCGUGUGUGUGCUGGAACUGUGACUGCCAUUGCCCUUAUGAGACUGCCAUCGUUUCCCCUUUCUAUCCCUACUAACAAACCAUUGGAUUCGUGAGUACUAACUGAAAACAGUUUGAAAGUGCACGUGCUUUUAUUUUUGCUCAGUUGAGUGAAGCGGCCAUUACAGUUUUUAGGCCCCACCGCACACAAGCCUCAUCCAUCAGGCCUGCAACGGGUUUGAGUUUAUUUUCUGGUGUGUUGUAUGUGAAUGUGUGUGGGCCCACCGGUACAACAAAAGGUAUUUUUGAAAAGUGAAAGAAGUGUUUUAUUUUCUUAUUUGAGGUAUUCAUUUUUAUUAUACAAGGGUACAAAGUGAAAGGCUUUUAUUUUGAAACCAAAAGGGAAGUAACCUGUGAAAGAGCUGUGAACUUUGUCUAUAACUUGUCUCUUUAUGCCCUAAUAACAUAUUUUCCUAUUUUACUUUUUUUGUCAAUUGUGUAAAUAAAUACCGGUGAGAGUUUAUAUUUAAAGUACAAUUGUGGUGGUCCUUAUUAAAAUAGCAUUAUUGAAAUAACAUUCAUUAUUAAAGUAAUAUUCAUUAUUAAAUUUAGUUGUAUUUUCCUACAACGAGCCCAGGCCCAGUCUCAUUGUAUUAACCAUUCUAGCUUUUCUUUUAACUACAUGGGACCUGGGUUACAUAAAUGGAGGCACCGCUGGGAUCUCAAUUAACAUAAAGUAAAAAAAAAAAAUUGAUAACAUUGACCCCACAACUUUAAAGCUUUAAUGUAAAAGUAACGUGCUAACAGUAAUUAAAAUCAAGUGCAAUAAUGGCAAGUCAAACAAGCAGUCCGUCACAAAUGGAACUAAUUAACUGGUGUAAAGGAGAGUCCGUAGAAGUAAAACAUUCCCUCCUGUUAUAUGGAGUGCCUGAAGAGAGUUCUGAAAAAGACAUUGAAGAAACAGCAGGGACCAUCAAAGCAUUGGGGAAAGUUAGAGUUAGGGGCAAAAUGUUUAACCCUCAACAGCAAUCACUCAUGGUGCUAUGUGAGUGUAGUGAAGAAAUAGACCCCUCCAGAAUUCCCCCUGAGAUUAUGCCUGUGAAUGGCGGAAGCAGUUGGAAAGCUGUCUACUACAUCGAGCCUCAGCUUGAUAAAUUUGAAGACAAAUUGCUCACCUUUCUGCAAAGUGAAGGGAAAACAUUGGAGGACAUUCAAGAUCUAUGCACCCCCACCAAGGAGGGUAACAGCAACCCAGAAGACAUCAUCCGUGCGGUCGGUGAUGUUUUGAACAGGAGCAACAAACAGUCUGACAGUCAGACAUACAGACGUCUGCGGACAUUUUCCGGGGUCAGUCCCACCCCCGCUGGAGAAGAGUCCUUAGACACUUGGUUGGAGCAUGCAACACUCUUGAUAACAGAAGGUGAGUGCUCAGACAAAGAGAAACGACGUCGGAUAUUGGAAAGUCUCAAAGGGCCCGCCUUUGAAAUCAUUCAAGCUGUGCGUCUGACUCAACCUGAUGCUAGCCCCCAUGAGUACAUAGAGGCUAUAGAGAGCAUUUUUGGUACCGUAGAGACUGGAGAAGAACUAUAUUUGGCAUUUAGAGCCCUUCGCCAACAGCCUGGUGAACAUCUAUCAGAGUUUCUGCGAAGAUUAGAGAAAUCUCUUGUCAAAGUAGUACGAGCAGGUGGCUUACCUGUUAGCGCUGCCAAUAGUGCUCGCUUAGAACAGCUCAUCAGAGGAGCCACCUCAGAGGUCAUGUUGCUACAGCUGAAAAUUAGGGAGCGGAGCAGUAAUCCCCCUACCUUCCUGACCCUGUUACGAGAAGUAAUGGAAGAGGAAGCCCGCCAGUCAGCCAAACAGAACCAAGUGGCACCCAUGCGUCCCCAGCAUGUACGCACUGUCCAAGCAGAAAAAGAAACAGAACCUGACUCAGCGUCUCAGAGUACACUGCAAGCCCAGAUUCAAGAGUUGAGAGCGCAGUUAGCAGAAAGAAACAACUCAUGGCCACAGUCGUCAUCUGAUGAUUCCUUUAAAGGUCCGAAAGAGAAAACAAAGCAGAAAAAUGAGUCGCAGAGUGAGCUACAAUCACUAAGAAAACAAGUGCAAACCCUAGAAAGUAAGAUUAGUGUAAUGGCAGUGAAAUACACAUCAGAUCCCCCACGAGAACACACACCACAGCCCCACCGAUACAAAGCCGCUCCAGGUAACAAGUCUGCUCCUCCCAAAGUGCCAUCUUCCAAAGACAAUGAUGAGUACUUUUGCUACCGGUGUGGGGAAAAUGGUCACAUAGCUCCUAGAUGCACUGCACCUGAGAACUCCCAGAAAGUUAUUCGAAAGCUCAUACGCUUGGUGCGAGGUUCCCCUGGCCCCAAACAAGAGAGCCCAAAGCCCGCUGCUGAAGAGCAGUGUGUAGCUAGAGUAAACAAAGUUGAAGUCCCAGAGAAUAACACUGUCCUACCUGAGGGUCUUGUAGGUCCAUCCUUUAUCCAUACCAUCAAAGUCAAUGAUGUGGUCUGCGAUGCUCUCAUUGAUAGUGGGUCUAAUGUGACUAUCAUUUUUGAAAACUGGUUUGAUGAACACUUACCGGGUGUCCCCCUAAACCCCCUCUCUGGCCUUGGCCUAUGGGGUCUCGCUGACUCAAAGUAUCCUUACAAAGGCUACGUUGUUGUAGAGAUGGAGUUCCCUGAGGAGAUCACUGGUGUGUCAGGACCGAUAGAAGUGCUCGCAUUGAUUUGUCCAGAGCUAAAAAACCAACAACAGACCCCUGUGCUGGUCGGAACCAAUACAUCUCUGUUCCGCCGCCUAUGGGAGCUGGUUAAGACAAAGAGUGAUAAGCAUACUGUGCACUCCAUGCGAAUCCAGUCUGUGUACGCCCCUGUUAAUGCGCAAGAACAGCUAGCCAAGAAUGAAGUCUUGGGCCAGCUAAAGUGGAAAGGCCCCGGUCCACUCUCGAUAGCUCCAGGAGCACAGUACUAUGCAACCUGCAAAGUGGAAAGACUGAGUGCUCCAUCCAAAGACCUUGUGCUGAUUGAUGCACCCACAGCCCAGUUACUCCCUGCCAGUGUGCUGGUAAAACCUGGUGUGCUCUCAGAUGCUGAUAUUGACAGCAACAGUUUCACUGUGCUCAUGCAGAAUGAGUCCAAGAAAACAACCUCUAUCCCAGUGGGGACUGUAGUUGCCGAAAUGUAUGCUGUGGACACAGUUACCCCAGUCCAGCCGUCCGACCUCGCAGCUGAAACCCUGGACCCAAGCCUCUUCAAUUUCGGGAAUUCCCCUAUCCCCGAGGAGUGGAAGAGUCGGCUUCAGCAGAAGUUAGCUGAAAGGCGGAAUGUUUUCUCGUUGCAUGAAUGGGAUGUUGGCUUGGCUAAGGGAGUUGAACACCGCAUACGCCUGCAUGACCCCCGAUCCUUCAGAGAAAGGUCAAGGAGACUAGCUCCUGCAGACAUUGACGAUGUAAGGCGACAUAUACAGCAGCUGCUGGCCGCUGGAAUCAUCACCGAGUCCCGCAGUCCCUACGCCUCACCAAUCGUCGUAGUCCGGAAGAAGAACGGGACUAUAAGAAUCUGUAUAGACUACAGAACGCUCAACAACCGCACCACACCAGACCAGUACACAAUGCCACGCAUCGACGACGCCCUGGAUUCCUUGUCAGGUAGCCAAUGGUUCUCAGUGCUGGAUCUGCGUAGUGGCUACUACCAGAUAGAGAUGGCUGAAGAGGAUAAAGAAAAGACAGCAUUUAUUUGUCCUCUUGGUUUCUAUCAAUUUGAGCGCAUGCCACAGGGCAUCACAGGAGCGCCAGCCACAUUUCAGCGCGUGAUGGAGAAAGCUGUCGGAGAUAUGCAUCUUCUGGAAGUCCUUGUGUACUUGGACGAUAUCAUUGUGUUUGGCAAAACACUCGAAGAGCAUGAGCAACGUCUUCUCAAAGUGCUGGAUAGGCUAGAGGAGAUCGGGUUAAAAGUGUCUAUUGACAAAUGUCAAUUCUGCCAGCCUCAGGUUAAGUACGUGGGUCAUAUUGUUUCUGUCGAUGGGAUAGCUACAGAUCCAGAGAAGGUUGAAGCCGUCAAACAUUGGAAAGCACCCACUCACCUGAAGCCUCUCAAGUCCUUUCUCGGAUUCUGCAGUUACUACCGGAGGUUUAUCGCAAACUACUCCGCCAUCGUUCGUCCUCUUUCUGAGCUCACCAAGGGAUAUGCCCCCACGUGGCAAGGCCCCAAACCCAAAAAGAGUGUGGACUCAGUCAAAGACUAUUUCAAACCAUCAGAGCCCUUUGGAGAUCGUUGGACUCCAGCCUGUCAGGAAGCCUUUGAGCGGAUCCGUGACUGUUUGAUCAACGCCCCUGUGUUGGCAUUCGCUGACCCCACCAAGACCUACAUCUUGCAUGUUGACGCCAGUAUGAAUGGGUUAGGCGCUGUCCUAAACCAGGAAUAUCCUGAGGGCCUUCGGCCUGUAGCGUUUGCCAGUCGGAAGCUUAAAGACUCAGAGCAUAACUAUCCAGUCCAUCAGUUGGAAUUUCUGGCACUAAAAUGGGCUGUCGUGGACAAGUUUCAUGACUACUUGUAUGGUGCCAAGUUUAUUGUAAGAACUGACAACAACCCAUUAACAUAUGUGUUGACCUCUGCCAAACUCAGUGCUGUUGGACACCGUUGGCUCGCCGCCCUUGCUACCUAUGAUUUCACCAUCCAGUAUCGUCCUGGGAGGCAAAACAUCGAUGCUGACCUGCUGUCUCGACAGUACACUUCAGACGAGGCUAAAGAAUGGACAAGUGUCCCACCUGAUGGCAUCAAAGCCCUCUGCAAACGUGCCUGCAUCAGUCAAGAAACAGAUGUGACUGACAGAUUGGUGGAUCAGCUGGGAGCUCCUGCCACAGCAGUACCAGAAGCCUAUGUGUUCCCAGUGAACCUUAGCUUAAACACCCUUGACCAGCUGAGCCCAAAGGAUAUCCAGGCAGCACAAGAUAUGGACCCAGCAAUUGGGCCACUGAAGAAAGCCAUGGAGAAGAAAAAAGUGCUGACUCGCUCCCAAAAUGAUUCGCCUGAGACUGUGUUGUUGCUAAGAGGAAGCCGCAAGUUGGAGUUGAAGGACGGAUUACUCUACAGAGUAAGAGAGAAAAUGUGUGGAAAACAGAUCAAACAACUUGUCUUGCCCGCAAGAUACCGACCGAUGGUGUUAAGAUCUUUGCAUGAUGAAUGUGGACACAUGGGAGUGGAGCGCACUACUGAACUGGUCAAAGACAGAUUUUAUUGGCCGCGAAUGACAGCUGAGGUUGAGGAGUUCAUUCGAACCUGUGGAAGAUGUAUCUCCAGGAAGACACUCCCUCAGCAUGCCGCGCCCUUGAAUCAAAUAACAAGUAAUGGUCCUUUAGAUUUAGUAUGUAUAGACUUUCUGCAGCUAGAGCCUGACUCUAAAGGUGUUACUAAUGUGUUAGUAGUGACAGAUCAUUACACACGCUACGCACAAGCGUUUGCCACCAAAGAUCAAAAGGCAAUCACUGUUGCAAGAGUAUUGUGGGAGAAGUAUUUUGUGCACUACGGCCUACCUGCGCGGAUACACUCAGAUCAGGGCCGAGAUUUCGAAAGUCGACUGAUCAAAGAGCUCCUGUCCAUGCUUGGGGUUCGGAAGUCACGCACAUCCCCCUACCACCCUCAAGGAGAUGCGCAACCAGAAAGGUUCAAUCGAACGCUCCUUGCAAUGCUUGGUACCCUGGACACUGUGAAGAAACAAUGCUGGAGCCAGCAUAUCACCUACCUGGUACAUGCGUACAACUGCACAAGAAAUGAUUCCACAGGAUACUCACCAUAUCAGCUCAUGUUUGGGAGAGAAGCUAGGUUGCCCAUUGACAUCUGUUUUGGAAUCUCGCCAAAUGGUGAAAGUGAGUCCUCUUACCAGCAGUACAUUACCAGGAUGAGAAAGGAGUUGCAAAAAGCUUAUCAACUAGCAUCUGACGCUGCUACAAAGAGUCACCUGAAAAACAAAGCACGCUAUGACAAUCGUGUGAGAGACUUACCUUUGGAGAAAGGAGACAGGAUCCUCAUUCAGAAUGUGGGCCUAAAAGGAAAGCAUAAACUUCAAGAUCGAUGGAAAUCAACGCCGUAUGUUGUUUUGGAGAAGCUGCCCAACCUGCCAGUCUACAAGGUCAAACCAGAGCAUGGUCCAGGUGUCGUCAAAACUCUCCAUCGAGACCACCUGUUGCCUAUCGGAUACAUGGUCAGGAUGUCAAACCUGCCAGAUGACAAGGAACUCACUCGGAGACCCGUCACAAGAGCUCAGCUUACUCAGCAACAUCGAGCAACCAAGUCUACUGACCCAGUAGAGGAAAGUGAUGCCGAGUCAUCAGGCUCAGAGUUUGAGACGGUCCAUAAUUCACCUGAUUUUGAUGUGGAGGAAAUUCAGAGACAGCUGGCAGCUGAAAAUCAAACCUCGGACGAGGAUGAAAGAUCUGAAGAAGAACACUGUGAAGCUACAGAAAAUCAACAGCUCACAGAAACAGAGUAUGAGGAAUUGUCUGAGGGUGUUGAACCUACUCAGUCAGACUCAGACGUCAGAGAAACAAAUAAUGAUUCUGUGGAAGAACAAGAUGUAGAAAGUAGAGCAAGCUCACCUAUGUCAAACAGGAUCAGGAAUGAAAAACCUUCUAAAAACCAAAGAAAUGAGAGUGAGGAAUCGUCCACAGUCAGAAGAUCUCGGAGACAACCGAAACCAACUGUGAGAUUAACCUAUGAAAAGCCUGGUCAACAAUCCUGUGAACCAGUUACCAUUAUGCACCAUGGUAUGGUCAUUCAACUCAAGUUAAACCCUCCAGACCAAGUCACUGAACCAAGAAAAAGGUGCAGAACAUCUAAAAGGCGUGAAGAGGAAAAAGAAAUAAGGGAUCACUCUUCCAAGUCAAAGAGAGAAAAAAAAAAGGUGUGAUGAGGACAUCUACACGGUCAGAAGGGGGAGGGUGUAGCCCUGUCUAAAAUCAGUUAGGAUACAGUGCAUAAAAUCCAAUUCAAAGUAUUCUAAAAUGUUAUAUUAAAAAAAGUUCAUAAUAUUAAAAUGUAUGGUUAAAAUAUGUGCUGGAUAAAAAACUAUAAUAUGUAUAGUGUAUUAAAAGACAAUUUACAAUUCAAAGAUAAAUAUUCUAAAAAAGGUCAAGUUCAUUAAGUUGAAGAGAUGUGUGAUUCAGAGAACGUGAGAGGAAUAAGCAGUGUAAAUGCAAGUGUAAUCUAACAUGUUAUCUGUUUUGUGUCAAUCAUUUCAUUCCUGUGUUCCUAUUGGUUGUUAUCUAACUCACGAGCCAAUCAAGCUAAAUUCAUGGGGUGAGAGGCGGGACUAGUGGCGCAGGUUAGUUUGGUGCGUACGUGAGCAUGCGAGAGACAGAGAGCCACGAUCGAUCAGCGAGCUAAGACGGAGGCAUCGUGUGGGGAGCAUUUAAGUUUUAUCGUGGAGGUCGACUACCCGUUGUCCUGAUAUAAACUUCUGUGUGACCUGCAAGAGGAGACGGACGUUGGAGAAGGAGAGAGAUUGAGACUGUCCAGACAGACGGCCCUGCUGUUUUUUAUUCUUCCUCGUGACUCUGCUGCUGAGCGCCAUCGCCCGUGUGUGUGCUGGAACUGUGACUGCCAUUGCCCUUAUGAGACUGCCAUCGUUUCCCCUUUCUAUCCCUACUAACAAACCAUUGGAUUCGUGAGUACUAACUGAAAACAGUUUGAAAGUGCACGUGCUUUUAUUUUUGCUCAGUUGAGUGAAGCGGCCAUUACAGUUUUUAGGCCCCACCGCACACAAGCCUCAUCCAUCAGGCCUGCAACGGGUUUGAGUUUAUUUUCUGGUGUGUUGUAUGUGAAUGUGUGUGGGCCCACCGGUACAACAAAAGGUAUUUUUGAAAAGUGAAAGAAGUGUUUUAUUUUCUUAUUUGAGGUAUUCAUUUUUAUUAUACAAGGGUACAAAGUGAAAGGCUUUUAUUUUGAAACCAAAAGGGAAGUAACCUGUGAAAGAGCUGUGAACUUUGUCUAUAACUUGUCUCUUUAUGCCCUAAUAACAUAUUUUCCUAUUUUACUUUUUUUGUCAAUUGUGUAAAUAAAUACCGGUGAGAGUUUAUAUUUAAAGUACAA